rnacentral:rRNA from 1 species
GACAGAGGGUGCAAACGUUGCUCGGAAUCACUGGGCGUAAAGGGCGUGUAGGCGGGUAGAUAAGUCGGGCGUGAAAUCCCUAGGCUCAACCUAGGAACUGCACUCGAAACUGUUUAUCUUGAGUGCCGGAGAGGAAAGCGGAAUUCCUGGUGUAGAGGUGAAAUUCGUAGAUAUCAAGCAGAACACCUGCGGCGAAGGGCG